ACUAAAAAUUUGCUUAUAUCGUCAAAUAUAUUAUUAACAUAUUAAGUUGGUUUGUAUACCAUGUCAUUUCAUCCAUGCAUCAAACCCCAUCCAUAUUUCGCUAACAAUAUUAUCUCGAUAAUGCGUUAUCUGCUAACUAUCCAGAGUUUUAUCAUAUCUAGGUAUAUUUGUCAUAUAAAUUUUAGUUGAUAAGAGAUACCUAAAUAAAUGGUCUUAUGUAUAGAUUCUUAAUUAUUUGAUGAUGCAUGUAUAGAUUUUUCAAUCA
rnacentral:sRNA from 1 species